GCGGCGUGGCCGCCGGAGCCCGCGUGACUAUGCGUCCCAGAAGGCAUUGCGGCGAGACGUUACAACUAGGGUCGGGUCGCCACGCCUUGAGCCAUUGUCUCUAGACUUGCUCUCAGCCAGAGCGGGAAGUCAGUCUCUAGCAUCUCUUCGGAAGUUGCAUCUGAGGGAACCUAGGGCGGGUUCGAGUCCUGGGCUGAAGGAUUUGGAUAAGUUGCGGGGUCGUCAGGGCUCCCUCUGCAGCUCCGAACUCGUGCGGUGUGGCACGAGCGCCAAGUCUGGGUGCCGCCGGCGCUUCUCUCUAGAUCGUUAAUUCUAGGCUUCCGAGCCCCGCCCGGGUCUUUCGGUGCCUGCGCGCCUUUUCUACACAGGGCGGAGCGCAGAACCACGGGACUCCGGUCGGAGAAGAGCUGGGAACAAGGGAAGAAGCUUCGAAAAGAUGAGGGGGGAAGGGACUACCCUGGGAGUUGAUCUUUUAAGGAUGACCUAGUCCGGUUCACCACAGUGCGUUCCAAGAAUGAGUGAAUAGACCGAUUUAUUAUAACCGCAACAGAAAACUACAAAGACAUGGACCCAAGAAAGAAGAAACUCAGAUCUACAAGACCCUGUCGACAAGACGAGAGGUUUAAAACAGUGUGUGUGUGUCUUUGCAUCACAGUACCUGCAGUGCCCAUGGAGGCCAGUAGAGGGUAUCAUUGCAGAGUUACAGAAAAUUCUUAGUUGCUACAUGGCUGCUUGAAACUGAAUCCAAGUCCUCUGCAAGACCAACAGGGUUUCCCAAGUGCUGGUAUUAAAGGCGUGCGCCACCACCACCCGGCUUAAAAAAUUCUUAAUGUAUGCUCUGCUGCAUAUAUAUCUGCCUGCCUGAAGAAGAAGUUAUCAGAUCCCCCAAUAGAUGGUUGUGAGCCACCAUGUGGUUGCUGCGAAUUGAAUUCAAGACCUCUGGAAGAGCAGCCAGUGGUGCUCUUAGCCACUGAGUCAUCUCAACAGCCCCUUAAUUGUCAUUUCAAGGUCUUUAUACUGUUUUUGCUGCAUUAUUAGGUUAGAGAGCCAGUCUUGUGCUCAUAAUCCAGAAUAAAGGUAUGGCAUUAAUUUGCACUUCCCAGCUCUGUGAACUACACCUAGAAUGUGGCUAAGGGAACUUUCACAGACCAGGAACCAUACCUACAGAAUUCACAUCUCAGGAAGUGAUAGGCUGUAGCACACAAUAUCCAGACCUUCAAAGAAUCACAUUCAAAUUUAGGAUUACUAAACUUUACAAACUCUGGGUAAGAUGCAAUAACUAUAUUAUUAAAGUUUAAAAUCAAAAUAAUGAGUCAAGAAGGAAAUGACAGCUGAGUUCCUUUAUUUCAGAAAUAUUUUAAUAUAGUUGUAGUAUAGUUAUGAAGUCACAUUCAAUUCACUGAAUAUAUUCCAAGUAUUAAUAAAAAUAUUAUACAUCUUAACUCACUAUGCUGAUAUAAUUAAAGCAUUUUGUUCUUACAGAUGACACUAGUAAUCACAUCCAUAUUUGCAUUGCUAGUGAACAGCAUGUAAAUAAAUGUAUUUUGAUAG